rnacentral:rRNA from 1 species
AACGAGAAAGGGGCUCGGCCCUGAGUAUUGUGGCGCACGGGUGAGUAACACGUAGGUAACCUGCCUCUGAGAUUGGGAUAACUCGUCGAAAGAUGGGCUAAUACCAAAUAAGACACGGGCUCUUUGGGAUCUGAGGUCAAAGGUAGCCUCUAUUUAUAAGCUAUCGCUGAGAGAUGGGCCUGCGCACCAUUAGCUAGUUGGUAGGGUAACGGCCUACCAAGGCAAAGAUGGUUAGCUGGUCUGAGAGGAUGAUCAGCCACACUGGAACUGAGACACGGUCCAGACUCCUACGGGAGGCAGCAGUGGGGAAUAUUGCGCAAUGGGCGAAAGCCUGACGCAGCAACGCCGCGUGAGUGAUGAAGGCCUUCGGGUCGUAAAGCUCUGUCGGAGGGAACGAAUGCUUUCGGGGUUAACAGCCCCGAGAAGUGACGGUACCCUCAAAGGAAGCACCGGCUAACUCUGUGCCAGCAGCCGCGGUAAUACAGAGGGUGCUAGCGUCGUUCGGAAUCAUUGGGCGUAAAGGGCGUGUACGCGGUUUGUUAAGUCAUGUGUGAAAUCC